rnacentral:rRNA from 1 species
GGUUAAGCGACUAAGCGUACACGGUGGAUGCCCUGGCAGUCAGAGGCGAUGAAGGACGUGCUAAUCUGCGAAAAGCGCCGGCGAGGUGAUAUGAACCUUUGACCCGGCGAUGUCCGAAUGGGGAAACCCAGUGCAAUCCGUUGCACUAUCGUUAACUGAAUACAUAGGUUAACGAGGCGAACCGGGGGAACUGAAACAUCUAAGUACCCCGAGGAAAAGAAAUCAACCGAGAUUCCCCCAGUAGCGGCGAGCGAACGGGGAGCAGCCCGGAGUCUGAAUCAGCUUGUGUGUUAGUGGAACGGUCUGGAAAGUCCGACGGUACAGGGUGAUAGUCCCGUACACGAAAGCACACAUGCUGUGAACUCGAAGAGUAGGGCGGGACACGUGGUAUCCUGUCUGAAUAUGGGGGGACCAUCCUCCAAGGCUAAAUACUCCUGACUGACCGAUAGUGAACCAGUACCGUGAGGGAAAGGCGAAAAGAACCCCGGCGAGGGGAGUGAAAAAGAACCUGAAACCGUGUACGUACAAGCAGUGGGAGCCUCUUUAUGGGGUGACUGCGUACCUUUUGUAUAAUGGGUCAGCGACUUAUAUUCUGUAGCAAGGUUAACCGUAUAGGGGAGCCGAAGGGAAACCGAGUCUUAACUGGGCGUUAAGUUGCAGGGUAUAGACCCGAAACCCGGUGAUCUAGCCAUGGGCAGGUUGAAGGUUGGGUAACACUAACUGGAGGACCGAACCGACUAAUGUUGAAAAAUUAGCGGAUGACCUGUGGCUGGGGGUGAAAGGCCAAUCAAACCGGGAGAUAGCUGGUUCUCCCCGAAAGCUAUUUAGGUAGCGCCUCGUGAACUCAUCUUCGGGGGUAGAGCACUGUUUCGGCUAGGGGGCCAUCCCGGCUUACCAACCCGAUGCAAACUACGAAUACCGAAGAAUGUUAUCACGGGAGACACACGGCGGGUGCUAACGUCCGUCGUGAAGAGGGAAACAACCCAGACCGCCAGCUAAGGUCCCAAAGUCAUGGUUAAGUGGGAAACGAUGUGGGAAGGCACAGACAGCCAGGAUGUUGGCUUAGAAGCAGCCAUCAUUUAAAGAAAGCGUAAUAGCUCACUGGUCGAGUCGGCCUGCGCGGAAGAUGUAACGGGGCUAAACCAUGCACCGAAGCUGCGGCAGCGACACUAUGUGUUGUUGGGUAGGGGAGCGUUCUGUAAGCCGUUGAAGGUGUGCUGUGAGGCAUGCUGGAGGUAUCAGAAGUGCGAAUGCUGACAUAAGUAACGAUAAAGCGGGUGAAAAGCCCGCUCGCCGGAAGACCAAGGGUUCCUGUCCAACGUUAAUCGGGGCAGGGUGAGUCGACCCCUAAGGCGAGGCCGAAAGGCGUAGUCGAUGGGAAACAGGUUAAUAUUCCUGUACUUGGUGUUACUGCGAAGGGGGGACGGAGAAGGCUAUGUCAGCCGGGCGACGGUUGUCCCGGUUUAAGCAUGUAGGCGGAGGUUCCAGGUAAAUCCGGUACCUUUUAACGCUGAGGUGUGAUGACGAGGCACUACGGUGCUGAAGUGAUAAAUGCCCUGCUUCCAGGAAAAGCCUCUAAGCAUCAGGUAACACGAAAUCGUACCCCAAACCGACACAGGUGGUCAGGUAGAGAAUACCAAGGCGCUUGAGAGAACUCGGGUGAAGGAACUAGGCAAAAUGGUGCCGUAACUUCGGGAGAAGGCACGCUGAUGUGUAGGUGAAGCCCCUGCGGGCGGAGCUGAAAUCAGUCGAAGAUACCAGCUGGCUGCAACUGUUUAUUAAAAACACAGCACUGUGCAAACACGAAAGUGGACGUAUACGGUGUGACGCCUGCCCGGUGCCGGAAGGUUAAUUGAUGGGGUUAGCGGCAACGCGAAGCUCUUGAUCGAAGCCCCGGUAAACGGCGGCCGUAACUAUAACGGUCCUAAGGUAGCGAAAUUCCUUGUCGGGUAAGUUCCGACCUGCACGAAUGGCGUAAUGAUGGCCAGGCUGUCUCCACCCGAGACUCAGUGAAAUUGAACUCGCUGUGAAGAUGCAGUGUACCCGCGGCAAGACGGAAAGACCCCGUGAACCUUUACUAUAGCUUGACACUGAACACUGGUCCUUGAUGUGUAGGAUAGGUGGGAGGCUUUGAAGCGUGGACGCCAGUCUGCGUGGAGCCAACCUUGAAAUACCACCCUUUAAUGGCUGGUGUUCUAACGUAGACCCGUAAUCCGGGUUGCGGACAGUGUCUGGUGGGUAGUUUGACUGGGGCGGUCUCCUCCCAAAGAGUAACGGAGGAGCACGAAGGUUGGCUAAUCCUGGUCGGACAUCAGGAGGUUAGUGCAAUGGCAUAAGCCAGCUUGACUGCGAGCGUGACGGCGCGAGCAGGUGCGAAAGCAGGUCAUAGUGAUCCGGUGGUUCUGAAUGGAAGGGCCAUCGCUCAACGGAUAAAAGGUACUCCGGGGAUAACAGGCUGAUACCGCCCAAGAGUUCAUAUCGACGGCGGUGUUUGGCACCUCGAUGUCGGCUCAUCACAUCCUGGGGCUGAAGUAGGUCCCAAGGGUAUGGCUGUUCGCCAUUUAAAGUGGUACGCGAGCUGGGUUUAGAACGUCGUGAGACAGUUCGGUCCCUAUCUGCCGUGGGCGCUGGAGAAUUGAGGGGGGCUGCUCCUAGUACGAGAGGACCGGAGUGGACGCAUCACUGGUGUUCGGGUUGUCAUGCCAAUGGCACUGCCCGGUAGCUAAAUGCGGAAGAGAUAAGUGCUGAAAGCAUCUAAGCACGAAACUUGCCCCGAGAUGAGUUCUCCCUGAGACUUUAAGUCUCCUGAAGGAACGUUGAAGACGACGACGUUGAUAGGUCGGGUGUGUAAGCGCAGCGAUGCGUUGAGCUAACCGAUACUAAUGAACCGUGAGGCUUAACCUU